AUACUUACCUGCAGGGGAAAUACCACACUCAUGAAUGUGAUUUUCCUAGGGUAAGGCUCUUUCAAUGCUCUUCGGUGGGGGUUGACCUCCAUGAUUCUCCUAAACGUGAGGACGUCAGCUGCAUAAUUUAUGUUUGUGGAGAGCUGCAUUCGUGCUGUUCCCUG